CAUGAAUAUUUGUAAGCACCAAGACUGUUUUUAGGCUUUUUCUUACAUCUCCCCUGUGUCAGGGAAGACAGAAGAAUUCCUGUGAGUCAGGAACUAAGCGCAUCCCUAAAGAGUAUGUGGUUCUUGAGAAUGCUGAGCCUUAACACUGAUGCUGUCUGGACCAGCAACUUGGAACUCAUGUUAUGAGCCAGGGCCCUGCCCGGCACGGCUGUGGGGACACGGGGGAGGCAGGGCAGGUGCCAGGGCCAGCAGGGGGUUGGGAUGGGAGAGCCGGGAAAGGGCCAUUCCACCAGCCCCUGGAAUGCUGGGCUUCGGGCCAUGGCAACCGUCAACAGGCCACGGAAUGUUGGAAUGUUGGGGGUUGGAUGCUGGUAACAAUCAACAGCUCCUGGCUCAUUGGGGUUUGGACCCUGGAGCUGUUAACAGCUUGUGAACAGUGGGGCUCAGACCUCGCAAAGGCCAACGGCACCUUGCUUGUGUGCUAUUGACCUUGCAAAGGACAACGCCAUUUCGAGAUUGGGGUUAGACCCUGCAAAGGCCAAGAGCCUUUGGAGAUUGGGGUUUAGACCCUGCAAAAGCCAACGACAUCUGGGCUUUGGGGUUUAGACCCUGCAAAAGUCAACAACAUCUGGACAUUGGGGUUUAGACCCUGCAAAGGCCAAGAGCCUUUGGAGAUUGGGGUUUAGACCCUGCAAAAGCCAACGACAUCUGGGCUUUGGGGUUUAGACCCUGCAAAAGUCAACAACAUCUGGACAUUGGGGUUUAGACCCUGCAAAGGCCAAGAGCCUUUGGAGAUUGGGGUUUAGACCCUGCAAAAGCCAAUAACAUCUGGACAUUGGGGUUCAGACCCUGCAGAAGUCAACGACCUUUGGUCAUUGGGAUUUGGUCACUGUUCGUGCCAAAGGAGCAGAUGGACACCCGGCGGGGAGCUCGAGGCCUUUCUCACCGGGGACGUUCCUCCAGAUCCCCUGAGGCACUGUUAGACGACAGUGACAGCAUGGCCAAUUCCAUCAUCUGCACUGGCAGUCCUGGGAACAUGCCCUCAACUCUGGCAUCCACUGAUGAGCAGCAUCCCUUGGAAUUGGUUCAGAAAGCCACAGAGAAUUGUGAGCGCUUGCAGCAACAUUUUGAGCAAAUGGCAGAGAAAUACCAGAGGCUCAGAAGCCGCCAGCAGCACAUAGACUGUCUGCUAGAAGAAAUCAGAAGUUACUGUGAAAACAUGGAGAAGUCCAAGGAAAUGCUGCAGCAAUUCAUUGGAAUUCCAGAGCCAGGAGCCUUGAGUCUGUGUCAGAAGAACACCAAGCAGCAGAAGGAAGCAUCAGCCCAGGCAGAAAAGGGAGAGCAGAAGGACAGGAUGGAGGCAAGCGAACGUGAAAGGCGCCAUGCAGAGAUGCAAGAGACACUGGAACAAUGGGAAAAAGAGAAGGCAGAGAGAGAGCAGGAGCACCAGAAGGUGCUGUCUGAGAUGAGGCAGAAAUUUGCCACUUUGGAGGCCCAACUAGAAGCAGAACAAACAAGAUUUGAAAACGCCAAGCGAGAGGUGCUGCUGGAAGAGCAGAAUGAGAGGAGUGCUUUAUCAGAGGCACUGCUCCAGACUCGGGGAGAGCUCAGCCAAGCCUGCCAGCAGAUCCAGCAGCUCAGGCAGGAGUUGGAAGAGCAGCAAGAGAAGGAGCAGACCAUCAAGGCAGAGCUGCAAGCUGAGCUGCAGGAAGCUCAGACUGAAAUCCAGGCAGCGCAGAGGAGGCACAAGGUAGAGCUACAAGGCGUCAGGGAGGAAAUGAAACUCCCUCUUGAGCAGAGGGAGGCUCUACAAAAGCAGGUGAGCAAAACAGCACUGGCACCACAGUCAUCCAGAGAGGGAUCCGUGGCCUUCUUGCUUUUCCAUGGCAGAGCAGCAGCUGAUGGGGUGAUCCCUGGG
rnacentral:lncRNA from 12 species